UGACAAUUUAUUUUUCCGGCUUUGUGCUUGGGUUUCUCUAGCUUCAGAGCUUUGAUUGAAGGGAUAUAAUAUGUCAGAACACCAGCUUUUGGCAGGAAAGAAGGGGCCAUGAACAGUGCACUAACAGAGACCAAAUUAGCGAAAAGCUUUUCAGUGUGAGUCGAGUAUGCAGAGGUGAUGUUUGGGAACUGACCUGACAAACAGCAGCCCCGUCUUGGGGGUCCCUGGAGGGGACACAAGGACGGCUCCUGCGGCCUGAGCGGACAACACCGAAGUCGUGGAGGGCGUACGUGCGCGCUUGGCUGCGGCAGGGACCGCGCCGCGCAGCCCAGAGCCGCCUUCAGCCACUCGUGCUCGGCCGGGCUGUGUCCGCACGCGGCUGCCGGGUCUCGAGCGCAGCCCCUCCGUCCGAGCUCCUCUGCCCUCCGCGACCUGGAGGAUUCCUGAAAAUGUCAGAACCUUCUAUUUUGAACACACAGCUUCUCCAAAGAAAAGUACCAGCAACAAAGCUCUGCACCAGGCAGCCCCAAAGCUGAUGCCCCAAGCUGAAGGAUCUGUGCUGGAAGUCAGGAGAUGACACCCAUGGCAAGGUUGAAGACCGGAGCUCCCCUGAAGAGAACAGCCAAAGUUUCUCCAGGAAAAUCAGCUUCAGUGAAGCUCUUCCAAGGAAAAUCAGAAUGUGUCCUCCGUUUGUACACUCCAGCAAGCCUACUUAAGUGGGUCUUCCGGAGCCAUGCUGACUCAACUCAGCUGGGCAUUUCCACUCACGGUGACAAUCAAACAACCACCAUGGUGUGUGAUGCUGCACUGGUCUGAUGAUUGCAUUCAUGUGGUUCUGCCUGUGGGUGAUUGGCUUACCACAUCAGGAAGACUUGUAGCUCGCAUGGAAUAAAAGAAAGAAGGCUCUCUGCUCUCUGCCCCCAUCUCCCUUAGCCAUGGCACCUUGCUUGGGCUGAAGCUCUACAA